rnacentral:rRNA from 1 species
GACGAACGCUGGCGGCGUGCUUAACACAUGCAAGUCGAACGGAAAGGCCCUGCUUUUGUGGGGUGCUCGAGUGGCGAACGGGUGAGUAACACGUGAGUAACCUGCCCUUGACUUUGGGAUAACUUCAGGAAACUGGGGCUAAUACCGGAUAGGAGCUCCUGCUGCAUGGUGGGGGUUGGAAAGUUUCGGCGGUUGGGGAUGGACUCGCGGCUUAUCAGCUUGUUGGUGGGGUAGUGGCUUACCAAGGCUUUGACGGGUAGCCGGCCUGAGAGGGUGACCGGCCACAUAGGGACUGGGAUACGGCCCAGACUCCAACGGGAGGCAGCAGUGGGGAAUAUUGCACAAUGGGCGGAAGCCUGAUGCAGCAACGCCGCGUGCGGGAUGACGGCCUUCGGGUUGUAAACCGCUUUCGCCUGUGACGAAGAGUGAGUGACGGUAAUGGGUAAAGAAGCACAGGCUAACUACGUG